AGGUGGGAGGGGCUGUUUUGAAAGAAAGUCCAUGGGAGAAAAGAAUUCAGGGUGAUGACAGUUUCUCAUUGGUUGAGUUGCAGGGGCAGUUGAUUUCUACUAGGAGAUCCAAUGUACAUCUUUACUUGUUGGGGCCUGGAAUUGAUGAUUCUUUCCUGUUGAAGAUUCUUCUGUCGGCAAUUCUUGACUUCCAGUGAUACCAAUGCCCCUCCACUGCCACUUGGGCGUUGCCCACGGAGAAUUUGUCCGCGCCCCACUCCAGGCCAAUGCGAGGCUGAAACUACACUAACCAGAAGGCCAAGGGGAAUGGCGGCGAGCUAUGGGCCAAUCACAGAAGAAGAGCGACUUCCUGCGGCUCACGGGACUUCCGGCGCCUCCGUGGUGGGCGUUCAUUUUGCUCUUGACAGGUCGUUAUAAAGCGCCCUCGGGGACCUGAGCUCUGGGCGGGGGCUGCUUUCCAGGCGCCUCCUCGGGACCCAGCGUGGAAGACAGUAAGGAAGAUGGGAUCGGCUGCCGCGUUUCGUCCCCUCUGAGGCUCCGAUUGCGACGGGCGGCGGGCGGGCACCUGGCCCAGUGGAGGUGUGGGGAUCGGCCAACCUCUCAGGGCCUGCCCGGGUCCAAUGGCGGCAGCGGCGGCGCUGGCGGACCCGGACCGGCAUCCGCAUAGUACGGGCCCACGAUAGAGGGGAGUGGUGGGUCCCUGGACUCUUCUCCUCCGCCUUCGCCUUCCUUCCUUUGCUGCUAGGACCCUAGGAUUACCCCAAGCCCGAGGUCCUGAGUCCUGGCCAGGGGUUAUGUGGAAAGUUUCAUAAUUCUGGAAUCCAGUGGGACAAGGUGUGGAAAGCUGUCUCAGGGUUAGGGACUAGGAUGUGAAAGGUUUCCUUCGUGUCUGGUGGACAAGAGUCAGGCCUGACACGGUAGCCUGAGCAGCUUGGUCUGUAAUCUGAGGGUGGUAUGAGUCAUGGAAGGUUUGGAGUAGAGGAGGAAGGUGAUAGGACUCAGGUGUUCAUAGGCUCCCUUUGGCUGCAGAGUGAAAAACAGACGUGGGGUAGGGAGUGAAGGUGAGGAGGCAGAAAGGGAGGCCCAUAAGGAUGCACCUUUACUGGAUCAGGUGAGUGAUGGUGUCUUGGCUUGAGUGGUGACUGGAGUUGGGAGAAGUGGCUGGAUUUGGAUCUUUCAAGUCAGCCAGAUUUUAUGAUGUGGAUAUCCAGGGAUAUCACCAUGGAUUUUGGCCUCAGCUAUGAGAAGAUGGAAUUGAAGGGCAUCGACUGAGAUGGGGAGGUUACUGGGCAAAGCAGGUUUCAGGGACGAUCAAGAGGCAGAUUUUGACCCUGGCAAUGCCUUGCAGACUUCCAGGUGGAGGUACUGAAAGGGCAGCUGGACAUGCAGGUCUAAGUUAUGCCGAGGAAUUCAGCUUGGAGACAUCCAGUCAACAGUCAGCCUGUGAACUAAGGUGGAGCUGUUUCAGAUUUGGGAGGGGGCAUCUUUAGCUUAUGGUGAAGGAUGUCCUACUGGGGCAGCUGAGGACUGGGUGGCUGGCCUGGGUACCUGGGCAGGGUUGGUGGAUGUCACAAAGUCAGAUGAAGGGAGGAACAGCCAUGAGGGAAGGUGUGUGUGGGAGAGGAGGGUCCAAAUAGUGACCAAGGUCCCUGGGACAGAGGCUGAGGCAUACUGGAGACGCAAGUAGCAUGAUAGUGGGACCAGGGCUGAUGUUUAUUCACUUCUCUGUGGGCUCACCAACCUUCCUUGGCCACCCUCUUUGGGACCUGAGGGUUUCAUUCAGGAUGGCAGAUUAGCUCAGUGGCAGUCAGCUGGGGAUGUUUCAGGCCUAGGGUGGGAGGUGGUGGAGCUGGGCUUUGAAUGUGCAUUAGGAGGAGAGAGGAAUACUGUGGUUGGUGAGAGGACAGCAUGGAGAAAGGCAGAGACUUGGAGGUCCCAGAGAUCUGUGUAGCCCACUCUGGGUAGCUGAGAGUUAAAGGUAGAAACUGAAGGAAAGGCUGGGUGCUACCUCCGGAAGUUGGAACUUUUGGAAGUCUGGCUCAGGAUGUGAUCCUGGUUGACUUUACCAAGUUAGGCACAUUCUGGACACCAUUUGCAGAGUAAUAUGUAGUGUGGCUGAGAGGAUGAAUGGCUCAUGGGAUGGUGGUGGGGUCUGGAGAUGUGGGAUACAAAGAUGGAUGUGUACAUGCAGAGGGAGUAUGAGUUCAUGGACUGGGAGUCCUGGUAGCGGGGACCUAUGGGAGAUGAGCCCGUUUGGUUGUUCUGGGAGGCAGGAUCUGGGAACCCAGGGGAAUUGCCUAGUAGGAGGCAGUGGGGCCCCACAUACUAGGCCCAGAGCUUGUGGCAACUUAUCUGCCUGCCUACUGUGUGAAGGAGGACACCGUAAUCAGUGGGAUACAAGGAGACAGUGGCAGCCAUGGCAUUGGAGCUUAGGGAGAAGGAUGACCUAGGAGUGUGUUGGCAGGAGUGAUUUGGGGGUCAGAGACUAAACACCAGAAAGGUGGCAGCAUGUGGGGUCACAGGCCUAGGCAUAUAUGGGUUCGUCUGUGUAUUUGUUUUUGUUGUUAGUUUUUCUGCUGCCCUUUGGUCUGGUUGACUUAGCUGUCCUCCUCAUCAUGGCAGGGCUAGGGGACCUUUGAGGAUGUGGCCAUGUACUUCUCCUGGGAGGAGUGGGAGAUCCUUGAUGAAGCUCAGAGACAUCUGUACUGCGAUGUAAUGCUUGAGAACUUGGUGCUUGUGGCCUCACUGGCUGAGCAUGGGUAUUGCUUCUUCCUCUGGACUAUCUGCUGUGUGUGAGGAGCUGGGUCAUGAGCACAGCCUACUCCUUUCCCUGAGGAGCCCCAAUAUCUGCUUCUGAAGCUUUCUGGAGAAAGGCUCAGGACUGAGGGUCUGGCUGGCUGCCCAGGUUUGUCCAGAUCAGUGGCAUUUCUGUGCCCAGGUUCUUCCCUCUUUUUAUUUUUUUAAGUUUAUUUAUUUUUGAAAGAGAGAGAGAGUGUGCGUGCAAGGGAGGGGCAGAGAGAGAGGGAGACAGAGAAUCCCAAGCAGGCUCCGCACUGUCAGUGUACAUCCUGACAUGGGACUUGAUCUCACAAACUGAGAGAUAAUGAUCUGAGCCAAAAUCAAAAGUCAGACACUCAACCAACUGAGCCACCCAGGCACCCCUUCUUUCCUUUUUUAAAAAUUU